UGGAGGAAUCACCUAAAGAAACACCAUGAAGAAUUCGUUCUGGCCUCAAAUAGUUACAUGGAUGUUUGUUGCAGGAAGAUACAUUUAACCAUUGAAGUUCCUACUCAUUGAGUGAACCCUGUUUCCCUCCUCUCUGGUUUCCAGAAACAAGGAUUUUUUCUAAACUCCACUUACUUCUUGCCUCAUGGCUAAUGCCCAUGGAGGUGGGGUGAGUGACCUGCUGGUGACCAAGGGAAAUGAAUCUGCACAGGAAGCCCAGGCCCUCCCUCCCUCCCUUCUCAUUAGAAGCCAGCUUCCCCUGGAAAACAGCCACAUUCUGCUCUACUUUGUCAUGUCAAUGGGCCCCUCCCUCAGUGGGAAGGCUUAAGUUUUGUAAGAUUGACCAGAAGUGUGGUGAUAUUUCCUAAUUCCAGGGAAUGGAGCUAGUCAUGCCACACAUUUUUGCUGUUCUCACGAACUGAGAGUCUUCUUAUGUUGCCAUUUUGAACUCUUGCACUCAAAUGAUCCUCCUGCCUUGGCCUUCCAAAGUGCUGGGAUUACAGGUAUGAGCCACUGUGCCCUGCCCAAGCACCUCUGCUCCGUGCCAUGCUCUUGGCUAAUUGAAGUUGUGAAAGGCAUGAGGAUUCUGGUCAUGGACUCAGCUCUCCCACAGGGGUCUGACACCAAAGUAAUGGUCACAACAAUGAAAGGAAGAAUACAUCUGGCCAGGCUCAGGUGGUUUAAGGCCUUCAGAAUCUGCCUUGAGACUCUCCAGUGACAGUCUUUAGACUGAAAACCAUCUUGGCCCCAUCCAUCCCUGUAAGCAAUUUAACAACAGCUUGCAAAGCACCGAGCUUUAACAGAAAGAAGAGAUGAGCACGGCACAAGAACUUGGACUCCAGAAGAGCUGCCUAACAGAUUAUUUUUCUGUGGUAUUUCAUGAGAACAAACAAAGUAAGAAUUUUCCUUUUGUCCGUCUGGCCUUUGGCAUUGUUUACUUUCUUUUUAUUCUUCUGAACUGUACUUUGAGCCCUGGCAGCAUUUCUGUCCUAAAAUCUUAUUGUCAGAGGUUUUUCAGCUGUUUCAAAUCAUACCUGAUAGAGUGAGUGUGCUGCCUGGACUCAUCCCUUUACUUCAGAAGAAAUACAGCUCACCCUUUAAAUGACAAUGGUGAUUGUCCACAGCUUUAUGUUUUCUACACUGAAGUGGCAGGCUUCAUUUAAAAAUAGUGUUUUCCCUCAUCAAAAAAGAACUAGGGUAGAACCCUCAACUCUGCUGAUAUCCAGGUAGUGACCUAACACCCAUGUUUUGGACAAUCACUGCCUUAAAUCAGGUUUUCAUUGCUUGUAGGAUAAUUCUUUGUCAAUGGUGGUUUUGUCACCUGUGAUGUGAGGUAAUGAGGUUUUCUACUUUUGCUUGAAAUUUUGAAAAUAUGCAAGCUUUUAACAUUUGCAAAGUUGGAUUCUGUUUUCUUUACAAAGCAACCUGAUUUGCCGAUGUUUUCUCCAUCUGUCAGGGUAUGCGUGAUGUGGUGCAGACUUAAAGUGCUGCCCUUCUGGAACAUGGACAGAGUAGCAGCACAGAAAAAUGAGCAUUUCAGCUCUGUGAUGAUUUGUGAAAAAAUUUCAGAUCAUCGAGCAGGCAUUUUGCUGACACCUGUGAAAAGUAACCACAUCAGAGAGCGUGGCGUGAUGGUCGGAGGCCACAUGCUGGAGUUGGACUGCUUGAGUCAAAUCCCAGCUGCUCAGCUGUAGGGAACUGAAUGGUGGUCCCCAAAAGAUAUGUGUAUCUCCUAAUCCCUGGUACCUGUGAAUGUGACCAAAGACCCUUAAAGGGUCUUGGCAGAUGUAAUUACAUUGAGGCUCUCAGAGAUGAGAACAUCCUGGAUUAUCAGGGUGGGUCCUGUAUCCAAUGACAAGUGUCUCCUUAUAGGAGACAGAAGAAGAUGCAGACCCAGAAGAGACUAAGUAAAGAUGGAAGCAGAGACUGGAGUGAGGCUGCCACAGGCCAAAGAAUACCUGGUGCCAGCAGAAUCUGGAAGAGGCAAGGAAGGACACUUCCCUGGGGCUUUCGGAUGGAGCACAGCCCUGCUGAUGCCUUGGUGUUGGACAUCUGGGCUAUGGGACUAUGAGAACCUUCUGUUGUUUUAAGCCACCCAGUUUGUGGUACUCUGUUAUGGCUGCCACAGGAAACUAAUACACCCUUUACCACCUG